AUCCAGGUGGCUCAGUCGGUGGAGCGGGCGACUCUUGAUCUUCGGUUGUGGGUUCAAGCCCCACGUUGGGUG
rnacentral:tRNA from 1 species